GAAAUGGCAUUUACCUUUCGUUUCUCGUACUGCUUGUGUUAGACUCGGGCAUGUAGGAGACCACUCCCCACGAUCAAACUCAUUCCAUGUGUGAUCUCAGCAUAUUUUCGGACAAGACAGAGACCAGACUAUUGCAUCUACUCCUUAAGCUUCUCUCAUCCUGGGAUUAUUAGCCAAGAUAGUGAUAACCACAAUAAUACUGUAUUUAGAAACUCUCUAGCACAUUUCGUUUCUGAGAAUCUUCCAGAUGUUAACUAAUUAAUCUUCACAACACUCCGUACAAGAGAGGUAAAUAUUAUUAACCAUGAUGGAAUAUACAUAUGUAUAUGCUAAGGACAGCAAAAUAGUUCACUUAUUUAUCAUGGUUCACUUGAUCUAGUAACUGGUAUUUUUAAAACACCCAUCAUAGAUACAAUAAUUAGAGAUGUGCUUUUGUUAACAAAACCACUACCCACUUCUAGCGUACCCUUGGGUACUAAAUAAUUACCCACUUUGUGUGGUUAUCUAGCUCACUAAUUACCCACAGAAAUUGGGGUCAGGUGUUAACUGCUUGAAAUAAGUAUCCUCCAAAGACAUCGCUGAGUUGUGUAGAGAAAAUGAUGUGUUCAUAGCAAAACUUUCAUAACUCAUAUAUUUGUAUAUCUUUGUAAGCGGAGUGAAUACAGACAGGGGCAAAUUAGCUUAGCAUGUGAAAAUCGUGCUGAACUGUUGUUGCAAAGAUAGAGAGGUUUAGGAGAGUCUCGGGGAAAUUUCAUCCUCUGUUUACCUUGCCUUUCUGAAGAUGAGUGAAAGGACAUGAUUCCUAUAAUCUGGCCUUCAUAUGCAAGCACACUAAGACAAUUGGUGAUUCUGGUUAGGAAUGAUUCAUUUUGGCGUUACAGGGAGGCACCCAGUGAGUCAAAGAUUUUUUUUUUUUUGACAGCUCCACCCUUUAUGAUUAUUCUAGCAUGUUUCUUUUUUCUCAUCAGUCUAGUGCAAACACACUAUUAGCCAAAUCUGAAAAAGAUUCUAACCCAGUCACCAAGCCUGCCAACCGUCUCUUUCUCCUUCCCAAUAACGACCAAAAAAAAAAAAAAAAAAAAAAAAAUUAAAGGGAAUCCAACACUAUGAUUGUACGUCUUUCUCUUUUUGCCUCAAUUUCUUCUCCCCCUUCCCCUCCCUUCCCCUCCUCUCCUCUCUUCUCCUUUCCCUUCUUCCUCCCUCUGUGUCUCCUCAUUUGUGCUUUUCCUUCUCCUUUCCUUGGGCAUCCAGCUGUGCUUCUGCAGGUCUCACAGUGAGAGACAAAGCUCAGUGUCUGAGCUGAGCACAAAAAAGCUACUUUUAAAAAACAUCGACUUGGAGCAAACCUGCAUCCUCAGAUACCUCCCUCCCUUCCUUGCUAUUUACAGAACCCGGCAUUACACUUAACACAGCACUGCCUGUUGUCUGCGUGAUUCCAGCCAGGAAAAUCGGGUGAAGAUGGCAAUACACCCACUGUGUGUGUAGAUAGGUAGAGACCCCGAUUUUCAGGAGCUACCUGUUUUCCGGGAUCAAGCUUUGAAAACGCACGCCAACAGACAUGAUGGGAGAUGCUCCCCUGCUCAACCCAGGAUGUCUUUCAUUUUUAUCUUGUGCCACUUUUUUUUGUCAUCUGAAUUAUUGCUUAUCAUUAUCAAGGGGCUUUAGGCUGAUCAAUGGAGUGUGUGUAUCUGAUGGACGUUUGAGGAGAAACCCUUCAGAAAGAAGGAAAAUGUCUGCAGUUGGAAGCAAAGGGUUAGGAUGAGCUACAGUGACUGAUGAGUUCAUUUCAAAAUCCACGGGAACGUAAGUGGUAAAUUAGUACAUAUGGCAAACAUAGUCAACGAGCAAAACCUGCCAUUGAAAGGAAAGCGAUUUUUCGCAUUGUAGUCAUCUCACGCCUGAAUAGAGUGCGUAUUUUAAAUAUAGAUUUGAAUCACUGCUCUUUUAUCCCCCUAAAUGCCGAUUUCAAAGAAGUCUUUGGGCGCUGCUGACUUUCUGGCCAUAAAGAAAACCCACCGAAGAUUCACAAAAUGCACCAGCACCUGUAGUCCUACAACACGCCUAGGUGUUUUAAAUGCCGGAGGGAUGCAGAACAAUUAGGCAGAGAACUGCACUGUGGUCUCUCUUCUUCACUCCUUCCUCCUCCUUUUUUUUUUUUUUCUCUUUCUUUCCCCCCUUCUAGAAAACGUGACACCUGAUCUCUGGGUCUAGCAGGCUGAGGAUUUUUCUGUAUUUGUAUAAUACAAUGUCUGGCCUUCCCCCUGACCUGCUGGUGUAUUUUUGGCCUCAUUAGUAGUCAGGGAGAUGCCUUAGUGCAUCCGGGGCUGCGAGUCAGGGAUGAGACACUACAACGGAGAGAGAGGGAGCGAGCGCGCGAGGAUAUUAGAAGGGAGGCUUGUCUCCAAGAUAUGGAAGGAAGUGAGAAAUGACAGGACCGCAAGCUUUGUAUGGAGGAGCCUGGCGGGGCGGGGGAGCGGCGGGGAGAGCCAAGUGGAUUCUCAGAAAAGCAGGGAAGCCGUAGAGGAGCUAAAGGUGAUUAGAGGGGGAUAUUGAUUCCUUACUCUGCCAGAGAUUUAAGCAGGCAUGCGAGGAAUCUGCACCAUGGUUGGCAAAAGGAGACCCGUUGCCUCCUGUAACCAGACACUCGGGCUUUCCAGGAGCCCAGGGAGAGAGCCGAGAAGAAAGGGGGCAGUGUGGUCUAGGAAAAUUCAACUUGUCGCUGAUUUGUGCCUGAUGCUUGCUGCCCGUCAGCAGCCUCCCUUACAAUCUUUUUUUUUUUCCUCUCUCUCUCCCUUUUUUUUUUCUUGCCUUCUCCUUCUUCACCGAAGCCUAGGGGAGCCAGCAAAGAUUAAAUGUGCUUUCUCAAAGGCAGCCACUUCAUGCUGCUAUGUCGAAAGGGCCAUUAUUAUUAUUAUUUUUAAUAGGAAAAGGAAAAGGGAGAGAGAGGGAGGUUGAGACAGGGAGAGAAGCAAGGUAGGUUGAUGACGGACUAGCUUUUCUGGGAGGAAAAGGAAAGUGAGAGAGAAAGGAGAAACCCUGAACUGAACCGGACGAUCGAGCCCGAGGAGAGCCUUACAGAGGCUAGCGCACUGCGAGCUCACAUUCCCCCCCUUGCUCGGAAUGGUGUUACGGGAGCCUGCAGCCCAGCUCCGCUUCCAAUGGACCCCCUCCCCACCAAGGAGCUGGCCCCCGAAGAUCUAGCUAUUAAGGAAAAACCCAGGCAGUGCAACAUAAGUUGCCUGUUGGAUAAACCUGAAGCUUUUCUUACGGAGCGUUUUCUCCCCAGACUGAUUAGCACGGGGUGCUCACACACUCAAGCAGUGCUGUUGCUUGGCUGAUCCUCGAGCGACGUGAACAGUGAGAGAGCACUACAUCUUCGUGGUGAUGCAGCAUUUCACAUGUGCUUAGAAAUAGCAUGGCCCCCAAAGUACCCUUACGUUUGCUUAUUUCUAUCAAAUAGUCAAUGUGAUAACUUUCUGUGACAUGUUCUGUUAUUUUUGUAGUUGUGUCGAUGUUCCUUUCAGCUGGUCCCAUAGCCCCCCUCCUCAGGAAGGUCUCCCCAGUGAAAGAACAAAAAUGGCACUGGCCACAGCUGCACUGGUGGACGCUCAAGCCAACUAUGAAGUUGAAACAAAGGAAGCUAUCACCUGAAGACACUUCUCCUGCUAAGCAGCCCCCCUAAAUGGUGCGAUUUCAGGCAAUAGAACUCCCAGAACACCAGGCAAUCUUUUCAAGAAACAGAAAAAAACUUCAUGGUGACAUCUAGAUUUCUCAGGAGCCAAGGACUUUCCCUUCCUCGUGUGUAUUCCUCUGUUUGUAUUUUAAUUCAGUGUGACAUUCAUUUCUCAAAUAUAUCCCCAGUAUGAAUAUGCUUCUUAAUGCACCGAUUUUUAAACUAGAAAAUCGCACAAAUGUGUUCAUGUUUCAAGGAGUGAAAUUAAUGCUGUAAGUAGAUCAGUUUUUUAACCACAUGCGGUUUAAUCUGAAGAGUGACCCAAGGGAAUAUAAAGUACUUUUGAAAUAACAGGGCAAUGAGAGACAAUCCAAAGGCUAAAAGAAUGGUGGAAACUCAUAAGGCAGCCAAGAGAUACCACAUUAUCCUACCUGACACCAACCAACGAACCAUUCUUUUAAUCAAACAAGAUAGGUUCUGUAAGACAUGGUCACUGCCUCUAAAGAGUGUAAAUCUAGUUCAACAGAAAUACAUAAACUUUUGAAAGGAUAGUAACAAAUCAGGUCUGUAGAUGUCAAGAUCACAACAAAAGAUAUAAACAAAGAACUCAGAGGAGUUCACCAUCAUCUGGGCAAAACUAGUCAAUUUAGGGAAGGAAGUUCGCAAAAGAGGAAAAUACAAAAUGAAUCUUACAGAGUGUUAAAGAUUUAGGGGCACCUGGCUGGCUUAGUUGGAGCAUGUGACUCUUAAUCUCAGGGUUGUGAGUUUAAGCCCAAUGUUGGGUGUGGAGCCUAUUUUUAAAAAAGGGAUAUUAAAGAUUCAGAUAAAUGGGAAGGAAAGAGAAAAUAGAGUCCUUUAUUUUUAUUUAUUUAUUUUUUAAAUAGAGUCCUUUAAAUGAAUGGAAUAUUGUGAGCACAGCCAUGGAGGAACGAAUCUAUGUGAUGAAUUUAAGGAAUUAUGAAUAUACAUGUCUAGUUGACAUUCAGUGCAUAUAUAUAUAUAUAUAUAUAUAUUAAGGACUCCACACACACGCUUCCCCUCUCCCACCCUGGGUGUCAUCUAGAACUAUCAUCGUAUCUCUUUGCCAUUAAAGCAAGUGAGAAUGAUUGGUGGUAAUGUGAGAACUUAUGAUUUUUCUGUUAACUUAAUAGUAAUUGGUAUUCACUGAGUUCUUACUCUAUGUUAAGCAUUUUAUAUAGGAACCCACCUAAGCCUGCAAUUCAGAACAACCCUGCAAAAUCGGUAUUAUUAUCCCUGUUUUAAAGAUAAGGUUUAAUGAGGUCAAGUAACUUGCCAAACUACCAUAUACAUGGUUCACAUUCAGAACUGUGAUCACAAAGCUCCUGAUCUAAAAGCAGUAAAUCACAAUAUUGCGAUCAAUGUUGCAGUAUUACCACUUCAAUAUUCCUCAAUAGUUUUUUACGAUAAACAAAUAGGUCAUUCAGUUAUCCCUUCAAUCUUUUCUGUUUUCUGCUAAAAUCAUGGAAAGAAUUUUCAUGAUAGAAAAUUGAAAGAAUUGGGUAAUAGAGUUUAUCAGCAUUUUAGUUUUUUUUUGUUGUUGUUGCUGCUUUUGUUUUUUUGCCAGAUGUUGAGGAAAUUGUUCACUGUGUUCUGCAUGAAAUCUCAAAUUCUUGAGAAUUAAAAAAAGAGGGGGGCACUUAAAGGUCAUCUGUUGCAAUGUGCUUUUCUACAGAUGACAAAUCAAAGUUAGAGCGACUUACGGAAGAUCACACAUUUGAGUGUGGCUGAGCUAGGUUCAGAAACCAGGCUGUCCAGUCUCCUUUCAGAGGCUCUUGAACUACUCCACCCUGCCUAAAUGAAGGACAAAUUUGAAUUUGAUCAAAGAAAGCAUUGUUUCUGGAUGAUCAUUGCACCUAGUAGAUUGUUUCAGUUUUUCACCUCUUUGGCUUCCCACCUCAAUGUGAAAAAUAGCCCGUUAUGAACUAACAUCUUUUGAUGCAUAAACUGUCAAUAAUCCAUCCCCAGAGAACACAUAAUGGCUCAGGUUAUGUGUAUAAUGUCUUCAAUGACAUUCUUAAGUUAUUUGAAAUUCUUAGCUCACCUAAACAAAUCGGAUCUUCUAAUGAGCCUUUUCUUACCCAAUUUUAUGCACAGUAUGUAUUUGUAAGUGCUUCUGCAUGAAUAUUUAUACAUGACUGUUUCAAUAGUCCUUAUGUUUUUGAAAAUAUCAAUGGUUAUUUGCUAUUUUAAUCCUCACUUAUCCAUGUAACGAACUCAAGAAUACUUCAGCCCUAAAAAGCUAGAAUUGAGGAAAUCUCACUCUUCUUUACCAGCUCCUUUGCAUUUAGUUGGCAUUUAGUAAUGAUUAAUAAAGUGGUCAGCUGGAUAACACAGGGGUUCAAUAUACAAUUCUGUCUUGAAGGAGUCAGUUAAGCUAAAUCUACUUAAGGAUAAACAUUUAGACGUUUGAAAGUACCUGAAUAUUUGACUGUUGUAAAUUUCCAUGUAAAAAUCUGGCAUUGUCAGACUUAGACCUCCUUUUAGCUCAGGUUGUCCUGUUUUCAAAAUGAUGAUUAUUGGCCGCAUCUCACACAGUUCUCAUUAAGUGAGUUCAUAAAUAAACAGAGUUUUUUAAAGAGUAGCCAAGCACAAAAUGUGACUUUGUUGACAUUUUAUGAGACUUUGUCAUAUGUCCCUUGAAUCCCCAAUAAAAGCAAUGUUGUAUCAACUGUGAA